UACGUAGGGUGCAAGCGUUGUCCGGAAUUAUUGGGCGUAAAGAGCUCGUAGGCGGUUUGUCGCGUCUGCUGUGAAAACCCGAGGCUCAACCUCGGGCCUGCAGUGGGUACGGGCAGACUAGAGUGCGGUAGGGGAGAUUGGAAUUCCUGGUGUAGCGGUGGAAUGCGCAGAUAUCAGGAGGAACACCGAUGGCGAAGGCAGGUCUCUGGGCCACUACUGACGCUGAGAAGCGAAAGCAUGGGGGAGCGAACAGG
rnacentral:rRNA from 1 species